UACAGAGGUGGCAAGCGUUGUUCGGAAUUACUGGGCGUAAAGGGCUCGUAGGUGGCCAACUAAGUCAGACGUGAAAUCCCUCGGCUUAACCGGGGAACUGCGUCUGAUACUGGAUGGCUUGAGUUCGGGAGAGGGAUGCGGAAUUCCAGGUGUAGCGGUGAAAUGCGCAGAUAUCAGGAGGAACACCGGUGGCGAAGGCGGAUCUCUGGGCCGUAACUGACGCUGAGGAGCGAAAGCAUGGGGAGCGAACAGG
rnacentral:rRNA from 1 species